GACGAACGCUGGCGGCGUGCUUAACACAUGCAAGUCGAACGCUGAACCCGCUUCGGUUGGGGACUAGUGGCCAACGGUUGAGUAACACGUGGCAACCUUCCCCCGGCUCUGGGAUAACUCCAAGAAAUUUGGGCUAAUACCGUAUUUGACCGCUGGACGCAUGGUCGUGUGUUUGGAAGUGGUUCCGGCUGGGGAUGGUGACGCGGCCUAUCAGCUUGUUGGCGGGGUAAUGGCCUAACAAGGCGACGACGGGUAGCCUGCCUGGGAGGGUGACCGGCCACACUGGCAAUGGGACAGGGCCCCGCCUCCUACGGGAGGAAGUAGUGGGGAUCAUUGCGCAAUGGGCGGAAGCCUGACGUAGCGACGCCGCGUGGGGGACGAAGGCCUUAGGGUUGUAAAACUCUUACAGCAGGGACGAAGCGAAAGUGACGGUACCUGCAGAAGAAGCACCGGCUAACUACGUG
rnacentral:rRNA from 1 species